AUGAGAACAAGAGACUGUUGCAGUGGCUAGUUCAUAGUUUCUCACGUAUCCUGCUAGAGCUGCACGAGUCUGUCACGUGAUUGAGUUUUUUGACAAUUGUAAGAAGAUAGGUGAAGGCUUAUAUGGAGAAGUGUUUUUCUGUCAGUAUAAUUGUACCUCUGGCAGGGUGCUUAAAAUUAUCCCCAUUGAAGGUCAUAUCUUGGUGAAUGGGGAGAAACAAAAAAAGUAUGAUGAAGUCCUUUCAGAAUUGGUUAUUGCUAUGGAAUUGAGUAAUUUACAUCAUGAUGCACAGUUCAAAACUAGCUGCUAUGUGGAGGUUGCUCGUUGUGUGUGUGUUAAAGGAAAAUAUCCACAGAGGCUUACUGAUCUCUGGAAUGAAUAUCACGAGGAAAAAGUGUCUGAAAAUGAUUCACCAACUAUCUUUGAUGACAGCCAACUCUUUCUCAUAUUUGAAUUGGCUGAUGGUGGCAAAGCAUUGGAAAAUUACUGUUUUACAUCAGCUGCCCAAGCAUUUUCAGCCUUUGUUCAGUUAUCAUUUGCUUUGGCAGUAGCAGAGAUCACUCUGAAAUUUUAGCACAGAGAUUUACACUGGGGUAAUGUGUUAAUAAAGAAGACAUCAGAAAAGCAUAUUACUUUCAAAUUAAGUGGAAAGGAAUUUUCAGUUCCAGCAAAUGGAAU